GACGAACGCUGGCGGCGUGCUUAACACAUGCAAGUCGAACGGAAAGGCCCUGCUUUUGUGGGGUGCUCGAGUGGCGAACGGGUGAGUAACACGUGAGUAACCUGCCCUUGACUUUGGGAUAACUUCAGGAAACUGGGGCUAAUACCGGAUAGGAGCUCCUGCUGCAUGGUGGGGGUUGGAAAGUUUCGGCGGUUGGGGAUGGACUCGCGGCUUAUCAGCUUGUUGGUGGGGUAGUGGCUUACCAAGGCUUUGACGGGUAGCCGGCCUGAGAGGGUGACCGGCCGCAAUGGGACUAAGAUACGGCCCAGACUCCUACAGGAGGCAACAGUGGGAAAUAGUGCACAAUGGACGGAAGCCUGAUACAGCAACGCCGCGUGCGGGAUGACGGCCUUCGGGUUGUAAACCGCUUUCGCCUGUGACGAAGCGUGAGUGACGGUAAUGGGUAAAGAAGCACCGGCUAACUACGUG
rnacentral:rRNA from 1 species